UAACGCGUAGGGGGCAAGCGUUGUCCGGAUUUAUUGGGCGUAAAGAGCUCGUAGGUGGUUCGGUAAGUCAGGUGUGAAACCUCCAGGCUCAACCUGGAGACGCCACUUGAUACUGCUGUGACUGGAGUCCGGUAGGGGAGCGUGGAAUUCCUGGUGUAGCGGUGAAAUGCGCAGAUAUCAGGAGGAACACCAGCGGCGAAGGCGGCGCUCUGGGCCGGUACUGACACAGAGGAGCGAAAGCGUGGGUAGCAAACAGG
rnacentral:rRNA from 1 species